CCUACGGGUGGCUGCAGUGAGGAAUAUUGGUCAAUGGGCGUAAGCCUGAACCAGCCAAGUCGCGUGAGGGAUGAAGGUUCUAUGGAUCGUAAACCUCUUUUAUAAGGGAAUAAAGUGCGGGACGUGUCCCGUUUUGUAUGUACCUUAUGAAUAAGGAUCGGCUAACUCCGUGCCAGCAGCCGCGGUAAUACGGAGGAUCCGAGCGUUAUCCGGAUUUAUUGGGUUUAAAGGGUGCGUAGGCGGCCUUUUAAGUCAGCGGUGAAAGUCUGUGGCUCAACCAUAGAAUUGCCGUUGAAACUGGGAGGCUUGAGUAUGUUUGAGGUAGGCGGAAUGCGUGGUGUAGCGGUCAAAUGCAUAGAUAUCACGCAGAACUCCGAUUGCGAAGGCAGCUUACUAAGCCAUAACUGACACUGAAGCACGAAAGCGUGGGGAUCAAACAGGAUUAGAUACCCGGGUAGUG
rnacentral:rRNA from 1 species